UAAAAGGGUCAGUUGGCUAUGCAUGCCACGCAUAUCUUUUAAUUAAUGGGCGUUGUAUGAUUAUUAAGACAUAUGGCCGACAUAAUUUAUGAAUGUUAUAGGGUUGGCUUGCUCAGUUAACCCUCUU